rnacentral:rRNA from 1 species
AAAUACAGAAGAAGCACCGGCUAACUCCGUGCCAGCAGCCGCGGUAAUACGGAGGGUGCGAGCGUUAAUCGGAAUAACUGGGCGUAAAGGGCACGCAGGCGGUUAUUUAAGUGAGGUGUGAAAGCCCUGGGCUUAACCUAGGAAUUGCAUUUCAGACUGGGUAACUAGAGUACUUUAGGGAGGGGUAGAAUUCCACGUGUAGCGGUGAAAUGCGUAGAGAUGUGGAGGAAUACCGAAGGCGAAGGCAGCCCCUUG